rnacentral:rRNA from 1 species
GAUGAACGCUCGCUGUGUGCCUAAUACAUGCAUGUUGAACGGGAUGUAGCAAUACAUUCAGUAGCGAAUGGGUGAGUAACACGUACCUAACCUACCUUUAAGACUGGGAUAACUAUUGGAAACAAUAGCUAAUACCGGAUAUAGUUAUUUAUCGCAUGAUGAGUAAUAGAAAGGAGCUUCACAGCUUCACUUAAAAAUGGGGGUGCGGAACAUUAGUUAGUUGGUAGGGUAAUGGCCUACCAAGACGAUGAUGUUUAGCCGGGCCGAGAGGCUGUACGGCCACACUGGGACUGAGAUACGGCCCAGACUCCUACGGGAGGCAGCAGUAAGGAAUUUUCCACAAUGAGCGAAAGCUUGAUGGAGCGACACAGCGUGCAGGAUGAAGUUCUUCGGAAUGUAAACUGCUGUUAUAAGGGAAGAAAAAAUAGAAUAGGAAAUGAUUUUACCUUGACGGUACCUUAUUAGAAAGCGACGGCAAACUAUGUGCCAGCAGCUGCGGUAAUACAUAGGUCGCAAGCGUUAUCCGGAAUUAUUGGGCGUAAAGCGCCCGUAGGUUUUUUGCUAAGUCUGGAGUUAAAUGCUGAAGCUCAACUUCAGUCCGCUUUGGAUACUGGCAAAAUAGAAUUAUAAAGAGGUUAGCGGAAUCCCUAGUGAAGCGGUGGAAUGCGUAGAUAUUAGGAAGAACACCAAUAGGCGAAGGCAGCUAACUGGUUAUAUAUUGACACUAAGGGACGAAAGCGUGGGGAGCAAACAGG